UCUAUCGUUUUCCACCAUACAUUUUUUCCCAUAUGGGAUUACCUGGCGUGACGUUUUGAUAACCAUGUAACUCUCUCUAGGACAAGGUGAUUUAUCAAAACAGUCGCCUGUAUCUACGCCCCCCAAAAUUAAAUGCUAAUCAGCUGUUUAUGUGGCUAUCAUAAAGAACUACAAAUGUCAUGAUAAUUUGGAGGAGACUGCCGAAUCAAGGCAAAGUUGGGCAAUCCUCCUCUCAAAAUACUGCAUCAUGAAGGCUUCCUGGGUGGACCUCUGAGCAUGCCCCAACCCCAGGCUCAGGACGAGCAGUGUCAACAUCCAGCAGGUGGCGCCACAUUAUCUGGAGAAGACUGAAGUUUUCAUUUUCUCCUGAGGACCUGCAUGCCAGCUGUAUCCAGUCCAGUCUCCCAACAUAUCACCUGGCUAUGAGCAGACAGCAUCCUGGGAGCGCCUCGGGUGUCCCAACAUAUCACCCUGCUCUGAGCAGACUGCAUCCUGGGAGCGCCGCAGGUCUCCCAACAUAUCACCUGGCACUUCCUGUCUGCAGGGGGAUUGUCAUCCACAUUCUCUCUGUUGCUCUGACUCACCAUUAGGCAAACCAAGACUGACCAGGGGAGGGGAAAAGUGCUAGAUAGAUUAAAUUAUAUUUUCAUUAAAGUAAGAUUAGACCGAAGGGUAAAGAAUGGGAUGAAAAACACGUUCAUGCACGGAUAAAAUGCUUUGUCCGUACUCCCUCCUUGCCUCCAUUUCCCUGUUCUAAAGAGCAGGUCCCCUCUGCUCUCUGGUGGUGGCUGUGCUGUUAAGAAGCAGUCAUGAGAGCAAACCCAUUUUGGCACCACUGUGCACUUCAGAGCAAUCCUGCUGUUUUAAACUAUUUAUUUUUCUAACUAAUUACGGGAGCAUAGGGGCUGGAUGCUGUACGUGAUUAGUAAGAAUGCAGGCACACCACAGACGCCAACCCACGUCAGUUCUUGCAUGACUACAUUCCAGCAAAUGCCAGGGCUUACAAUGCCUGGAUAGGUAUUAACAUAUCAUCUAACUACAUCAUGUGACAUAACAAUCUGAUGCCUGACUGCACAGUCGAUGAUGUGGCAUGCAACCAUUGGUUGAUGCAAUGCAACUCCUGCACAUCUAGUUGUUUAGGAACUCUAUCAUUAAUUGAGCUCUCCGUCUGGCUGCUGGUGGGGUCCCAUUCUCCUCAUCAGAGUUCACCUGAUGACUUCCUGCUGACUGCACAGUGCUGGGUGAUUGAUGUGAUUUCCCUGAGGGAGGGGAGUGGUUCUAAAUCUGGCUCCAGCACUGCAGAUGGAACCGGCUCCAGUCCGUGUCGUGUUCCCAUCAGCAGCCCAGUGUGCAGCUCCAACACUAUGAUUGGAGCACUCCCCACUGGCCUUCAAUCACACCAAACAUAUUGCGUAUUUUUUCAUCUUCCAUCCCCCUGCCUCAACCUCAUUUACUGUUUUUUUUUUUUUUUUUUUAUACAUUUAGGGGGUAGAUCAGCUUUAGUAUUGCAGAUAGAUUGUGGUUUACAUCAAUGUAAUUGUUUGCAGCAUUCCCAAUCCCCCAUAUUUUCUUAAAUGAUUUCAAUAAAUGUUCCUUUCUUAUUUUCCCCUAAACCUACCACCCCUACCCCAAUUGGAGUAUUGUAAGGGACAACAAUACUUAGACUUCUACUUCCAACUUCUACUUCUACAUUUUACGGGACCGGUACAUUUGACCUUUGUUAUCCCCUUAGUCCAACCCUUCAGCUACCCUCAACACCUCCCAUCUAUCUCUGAAAACUAUCCAGUUUUGAUUUUUACUUGCCAUAUGCAGUACCAGUAAAAAGUUGACACACCUACUCAUUCAAGGGUUUUUCUUUUUUUUAUUAUUUUCUACAUUGUAGAAUAAUAGUGAAGAGUUCACAACUAUGAAAUAACUGAUAUGGAAUAAUGUAGUAACCAAAAAAGUGUCAAAAUGUAAAUAUAUUUGAGAUUCUUCAAAUGUUCCCACAUAUGCUGAGCACUUGUUGGCUGCUUUUCCUUCACUCUGCGGUCCAACUCAUCCCAAACAAUCUCAGUUGGGUUGAGGUUGGGUGAUUGUGGAAGCCAGGUCAUCUGAUGCAGCACUCCAUCACUCUCCUUCUUGGUCAAAUAGCCCUUACCCAGCUUGGAUGUGUGUUUUGGGUCAUUCUUCUGUUGAAAAACAAAUGAUAGUACCACUAAGUGCAAACCAGAUGGGAUGGCGUAUCGCUGCAGAAUGCUGUGGUAACCAUGCUGGUUAAGUGUGCCUUGAAUUCAAAAUAAAUCACAGACAGUGUCACCAGAAAAGCACUCCUACACCAUCACACCAUCACACCUCCUCCAUGCUUCACGGUGGGAACCACACAUGCGGAGAUCAUCCGUUCACCCACAUUGUGUCUCACAAAGACAUGACGGUUGGGACCAAAAAUCUCAAAUUUGGACUCCGACCAAAGGACAGAUUUCCACCGGUCUAAUGUCCAUUGCUCGUGUUUCUUGGCCGAAGCAAGUCUCUUCUUCCUAUUGGUGUCCUUUAGUAGGGAUUUCUUUGUAGCAAUUUGACCAUGAAGGCCUGAUUCACGUGGUCUCCUCUGAACAGUUGAUGUUGUGAUGUGUCUGUUACUUGAACUCUGUGAAGCAUUUAUUUGAGCUGCAAUUUCUGAGGCUGGUAACUCUAAUGAACAUAUCCUCUGUAGCAGAGGUAACUCUGGGUCUUCCAUUCCUGUGGUGGUCCUCAUGAGAGACAGUUUCAUCAUAGCGCUUGGUUUUUGCGACUGAGCUUGAAUAAACUUUAAAAGUUCUUGAAGUUUUCUGUAUUGACUGACCUUCAUGUCUGAAAGUAAUGGACUGUCGUUUCUCUUUGCUUAUUUGAGCUGUUCUUGCCAUAAUAUGGACUUAUACCAUAUACUUAUAGCCCUAUUUGGUAAAAGAGUUAUCUUCUGUAUACCAACCCUACCUUGUCACAACACAACUGAUUGGCUCAAACGCAUUAAGAAGGAAAGAAAUUCCACAAAUUAACUUUUCACAAAGUACACCUGUUAAUUUAAAUGUAUUCCAGGUGACUACCUCAUGAAGCUGGUUGAGAGAAUGCCAAGAGUGUGCAAAUCUGUCAUCAAGGCAAAGGGUGGCUACUUUGAAGGAUCUAAAAUAUAAAAUAUGUUUUCAUUUGUUUCACUUUUUUUUUUGUCUACUACUUGAUUCCAUAUGUGUUAUUUCAUAGUUGUGAUGUCUUCAAUAUUAUUAUACAGUGUAAAAAAUAGUAAAAAAUAAAUUAAAACCCUUGAAUGAGUAGGUGUCCAAAUUUUUGACUGGUACUGUAUUUUUCAACUGGCUGUGAGGUUUCACAAAAGUUCUGAACCUUUCCAUUCUCAUAGUUCCUGCAGAUUCUAAAUAAAAAAAUAUUAGAUUUUUACUAAGAGUAUUAUUGAUCGAUUGACUAUGGCUUUUCAAAUCACCCAGCAGUGCUAUUUGCAGACUAAGUUUUAAGUAAAUGUUGAGAUUUUUCAGCCAUUCCUGAAAAAUCAGGCGUUGUUUUGUGUAUUUGUAUUGUUUUGCAUUUAUUAAGUAUCCCCAUUAGCUGCUUUGUAUCAGUUCAUAAACCAUGUGCCAUGGAAUCAGCACAUCGGAAAAAAUCUCUUCCCAACUAUUUAGCAACCUGUAUGGCACAGCUGUACAUUUGUUGGUCUUUAAAUGGAACUGGUAUACUUUUUUAUUUAUCACAUUAUUAUUAUUCAACAUUUUGGUCUUUAAUGGAGGGUAACUUGUCUGUCGACUAUGUCAGGACAGGCUCUAAGGCCUGUGUGUCUAUUUUCUGUUUUCUUCCUGACACAGCGAUUCACUGUUGAGAUCAUAAAAUCACCUUCAUGGUAAACUUCAA